rnacentral:rRNA from 1 species
CCUACGGGUGGCAGCAGUGAGGAAUAUUGGUCAAUGGGCGCGAGCCUGAACCAGCCAAGUAGCGUGAAGGAUGACUGCCCUACGGGUUGUAAACUUCUUUUAUAAAGGACUAAAGUGAGGCACGUGGGCCUUUUUGUAUGUCCUUUAUGAAUAAGGAUCGGCUAAGUCCGUACCAGCAGCCGCGGUAAUACGGAGGAUCCGAGCUUUAUCCGGAUUUAUUGGGUUUAAAGGGAGCGUAGAUGGGUUGUUAAGUCAGUGGGGAAAGUUUGCGGCGCAACCGUAAAAUUGGAAUUGAUACUGGCAGCCUUGAGUACAGUUGAGGUAGGCGGAAUUCGUGGUGUAGCGGUGAAAUGCUUAGAUAUCACGAAGAACUCCGAUUGCGAAGGCAGCCUACUAAACUGCCACUGACAUUGAUGCUCGAAAGUGUGGGUAUCAAACAGGAUUAGAUACCCGAGUAGUC